CUUCAGGUCCUGGGAGAUAUGACCAGGUCCAGGAACUUGUAGGACUUUACUGCUAAUACAGUGCUGCCGAGUAUGAGCAGUAUAGUCAAGACACUGUUAUGGCUGCGGAUUAGUGCACUCCCAGCACCUCGUCCGCCAGCCCUGGGACCACCAACAACCCCGCCCCGGCAGGUGCUGGAGUACACUCCUGGCAGCGAAGCACACAUGAUCAGCAGAGCAUUACUUAAGGAGAGCAUUAGUGUGUUCUCAUCGCCAGAUGAUCUCUUGAUGACCAAGUACAACUUCCGUGGCUAGCCAGGCGCACCUCCCACAUUGGCAGAGACUUGGAAUGCGGCCAAACCAUUCUGUGGACCAUGGCUUCCAUUGCCAGCAGAUUCACGCACCAGCCAGCAGGCACCUCAACACCUCCUGCCUCCCUGCACAACACUCAUUCAUCAUAACCCAAGUUCUCGUCAUUACUACCCACAGAGUCACUGCUGAUCUGCUCAGUCUUCUCACUCUCUUCUUCUGCUUUCAAUUUAGUGGUUGCCUCUACUCCCCUGGUUGCUCAUCUAGUGGUCCAGUCAACACAGCUUCCAGUCCCCCGUGACCAGCUGAAACAUCCACACUACAUCUUAUAAUUUUCUGUUACCACUACUGAUUAAUAACCGUUUUUAUCUUGAGCCUCUGUCCAAGUCCUGCAUUUACUGGGUCCUCGCUUGUGACUUCUGAUAGCUAGCCAUAACAGACACCCAGCCUGGCACUUAAAUAAUCAAAAAAUGUUAUAUUAGUGUAAACAUUUCAUCAUUAUAUUUCACAUAAAGACAAAACACUAACUCUAAUUUAUCACUGGCCCCUAAAACUGAGGCUUGCUGUUAACAUUGAUGUUGCUUUGUAUUUGGUGGCACUAUAAAUGGUACCUAGCAUCAGAUUUACUCAUUAAUAAAGUUUCUACAGGGUUAAGACAUUUCUUCAGUUUUAAUCUUGCCACCCAGUUUUGUAAAUGAUUAGUUUGAAACUAGCUAGUACUUACAAAGACUUUAGACUUUACACACAAACUUAGAAAUGGAUUUACAAAUAGAUAUUUCAACCUGUCAACAGGGAGAAUGUCUCCUGUGCAGCUCCAACACAUACAAUAGUGUAAUUACACAAAGAAUAUGAUGCUUGUAUACUGUAUGAAUGAAUAUCCAAUUCCUGCCUAAUAAGAAGAAGCUUGGAUAUAAUAAUCUGCAAACUGAUUAUAUAAAAUGGCAUUGCUUAUAAACCUCAGAGGCUAGUAGCAAUUUAUUAGCUAAUACAUUCCAGGCUUGAAGCAAUAAAUGCAAAAAUACAAUAAAAACCCUGCUAAGUAUAUUUUAUAUUUUAUUCCAAAACCUUCAAAAUAAGUUUCAAGUUCAAGAAAGUAGAAUAAGCUUAGACACAAUGCAAAGCAUCAUAUACAGAUGGAUAAAAUACAUUUUUUAUAUUGCAGACAAGCCAUGGUGGGGUGGGUCUUACAUAUGUACAGUAUGUAUGUAAACUUUUAUUUACAAUCUUUUUUACAUAUACAAAAAGCCUUGUUUCUA